GUGCUUCUUCUCGAUAGUUACCGUUUCGUUGCGAUCGUGAGGAUUCGUUCGACUACGCUUGGUUCGUCUUCGUGGCUUCAUCUUCUUCAUGGACUCGUUCUUCUUCCUUGCGGGAUUUCAGGCAAGAUGACCAUUUCCUUGGAUCUCACUACUAUCAUUGCUAUGCUAGUUGCUUCGUUCUAUCGCUUUGCUGCGUUACCUAUCUUUUGCUCCUCAAGCCUCCCAAAUUGCCAUGAACCUCUAACCUUUGACACCCUUCCUAGCAAACCCUUACUUGGCUAUGUUACCGCUUUGCUCAGCCCCUCUUAUAGCGUUGUUAGUUGCAGGUGAAUUUGAAGAUUGCUCCAUGGUGGACAGGAUUAUGUUGGGAUAUCACAAUAUCUCUUAUAUUAUUUUUAAUGCUCCUAUAUACUUGGUAAAGGGUGGAAGGCUCGGCCUUAUGCCUAGUGUUUUGUUCCACUCUUGCCGCCCUAGUUUCCGUCAUACCGGUGUUAUGUUCCCAGAUUUUGCGUUCCUUACGCGGUUGGGUGAUUUAUGGGACCCCCUUGACAGUUCGCUUUGAAUGAAACUCCUCCAGCAAGGCCCAACAUUGGUUUUACCAUUUGCCUCACCACCACCUACUUUUCCCUUGGGAGUCGCUCUCUCGAGUGUCAUCUUUAUUUUAGCCCCCCCCCCCCUGGGCCAGUGCUUCUCUAAGUGUUGUUCCGAACUAGAGCCCUUUGCAGCGCCCCCUCAGGGAAACUUGAGGUCUGGUUUUAGUUGUACGGAUUGCUCAUCCGGUGUUGCCCUGAGAACGAGAUAUGUGCAGCUCCUAUCGGGAUUGUCGGCGCAUCGGGCGGUCUUGCUGGUCUUGUUUUACCAUUGUCGAAAUGUCUAGUAAACCGGGAUUCCGAGUCUGAUCGGGUCUUCCUGGGAGAAGGUAUAUCCUUCGUUGAUCGCGAGAGCUUAUCAUGGGCUAAGUUGGGACACCCCUGCAGGGUAUAAACUUUCGAAAGCCGUGCCCGCGAUUAUGGGCAGAUGGGAAUUUGUUAAUGUCCGGUUGUAGAUAACUUGACACUAGAUCCGAAUUAAAACGCAUCAACCGCGUGUGUAGCCGUGAUGGUCUCUUUUUGGCGGAGUCCGGGAAGUGAACACGGUUUUGGGUUAUGUUUAACAUAAGUAGGAGUUCAUGAUCACUUCUUGAUCAUUGCUAGCUUCACGACCGUUCCAUUUGCUCUCUUCUCGCUCUUAUUUGCGUACGUUAGCCACCAUACAUGCUUAGUCGCUGCUGCAACCUCACCACUUUAGCCCUUCCUUUCCCAUUAAGCUUUGCUAGUCUUGAUACCCAUGGUAAUGGGAUUGCUGAAUCCUCGUGGCUCACAGUUUACUACAACAACAGUUGCAGGUACAGGUUAUGCGAUGAUCAUGACACGAGAGCGAUGUUUGCUUGUUUUGGAGUUCUUCUUCUUCUUCUCCUUCGAUCAGGGGAUAGG
rnacentral:lncRNA from 1 species